AACGAACGCUGGCGGCAGGCUUAACACAUGCAAGUCGAGCGCCCCGCAAGGGGAGCGGCAGACGGGUGAGUAACGCGUGGGAACAUACCCUUUAGUACGGAAUAGCCUCGGGAAACUGGGAUUAAUACCGUAUACGCCUACGGGGAAAGGAUUAUCGCUAAGGAUUGGCCGCGUUGGAUUAGCUAGUUGGUGAGGUAAUGGCUCACCAAGGCGACGAUCUAUAGCUGGUCUGAGAGGAUGAUCAGCCACACUGGGACUGAGACACGGCCCAGACUCCUACGGGAGGCAGCAGUGGGGAAUAUUGGACAAUGGGCGAAAGCCUGAUCCAGCCAUGCCGCGUGAGUGAUGAAGGCCCUAGGGUUGUAAAGCUCUUUCGCUAGAGAAGAUAAUGACGGUAUCUAGUAAAGAAGCCCCGGCUAACUUCGUGCCAGCAGCCGCGGUAAUG
rnacentral:rRNA from 1 species